ensembl:lncRNA
GAAUUUAGUAAGGGAAGAUCUCUCUCUUUUAAUGUCCACAUCCCUUAAAAUAACAAUAAUCUUCCUUUUAACCUUUUAUACAAAUUUCUGAAGAGACAUUAAUUUUUGAAUCAUUUUACCUAGGGCAAUGAAACAGGCUGAUUUGUUUCCUUUCAUCUUUGGUGUCGGACUUUCACCUUCGCAGCUGUCGGGGUACAAGCGGCACAUGUCAAAAGCUAGAACUUUGGGAUGAGGAGGGAUCUUGGAGCUCAGAGUUUACAUAACUCCCACUGUCACCAACCUGAGACACAUGAACACAGAGAAUUCUAUCAAUAGUCACAGAAACACCAAAAAAACUUUUCAACCCUGUAUUCUCAAAUGCCAGGAAAUAUUGGAAUCCUCAGACAAACAUGUUUUCCCAAAAAAGAUGACCAGGGAAUCAGAUUCCAGAAACCCCCUCUGCUGUCCUGACAGAAACCGCUUAAUGCUCUGGGCAUCUUCCACUCCUGCCGUCACCGUGUGGGCACAAGUGGCCGUGCUCCAUGAGAGCCUGAAACGACCCUGGCCACCACUCAGACUGAGCUUCAUCACCUCACGCAUGACUCCCUAGGGGAGCCGGGGAUAAGGCCGGACUAAGGGUCCAGGUCUGGGCAAGGUGCUGUCUGGGCCCCACGGGUUGCAGGCACCAGUGGUGGAACUCCAGAAUAAGCUGUCAAAGGAGGACUGGAGACCAGGCAUUUAGAAAAGGGAUGGAGACGUUCACCUGCGAAGGGUGUGAGGGACUUGGCCUUCAGACAACCGACUGGCCAGAUGCAAAGCACAAACGUUUGAAGGAAAAAAUGAAAAACGGCCAAGUUCACCGUGUUUACAUUAGUCUACUCACGGUGAAAAAGAAGCAGCUUUCUCACAUAAUCAUCCUAUUUACAACACAUCCUCAGAUCUCAGCACUGCAAAACUCAGGGAUUAAAGUGUUCCGUUAGGGGGUCCAAAUUUCUGGGAAGUAUUCAAGGCUUAUUAUUUUGGGAACCAGAACCAGUUAGGACAACCCUGUCAGUUUGUUUUUUUCUUUUUUUCCUGACUGUGGCAUGUGAGUGCUUAGUCAUCCUGGAAACAGGGCAAGGUGUCAGCUUUUGUUUCUGCAAUGCUCCACACACGCUUGUUAAAUUAACUGAACUGAAGUUGAUGGUCCCUCACAGGAUGGUAAAAACUGUGGUCUCCAGAGAAGCCUCGUGGAGAUAAUGGACAGGUGCUUGUACAAGGUCCUCUUGGCUGACCUGACGUUGGCGUCUGGGGUCCCUGACCUUGGCCCAUCUUAUUGGAGAAGAAGCGGCUGCUUGAGCUGAUCCAGGCGAUUCCUCUGCCGGCUCGCUCCUGCCUCUUACCUUCACAGACCCCAACUGCUUUCCUUUCAGACUGGGGACUCCCCGGGCGCAGGGGCUGUCUCUUUUGCAUCUGCCACACUUGGACCCUUCCGAAGGUGACAAUCUUAAACUCCCGUCCACUAGGCCAUUCUGCCCCUUCUCUCCAUUUGGAUAUCUAGAGGUAAGUAGGAGCUAAUGAAUGCCGCUGUGAGCUCUGAAACUCCUCUGCAAAUGUGUUGCUCUUGCUUGUCUGAAUAGCCCUUCUCACCAUAAGUGAUGGUCCUCUCAUUGGGAUAGUUUUUAAUGCCAGGAGAAAAGGAAUGUUGGCAAGACACAAAGCCAGACCCCACCCCCACUGUGCUGCGAUGGGCUCGGAAAGCACCCCCUCACCCCAUUGAGCAAUGCCACUGCUGACCUUGGGAACAGUAUUCUGCCUUUUGAGCCUCAGUUUCUCCCCAGGAUGUUAAAGACUAAAUGGGAUGUUGUAUGUAAGGGUCUGGCCUCAGCAGACACUGGUUCCCUUUCUUUUCCACACUCUGCCUUAACUUCUGGCUCUUCCACAGUGGAGACAUUUCUGUGGCUCCUCCACUAAGUACUGAAUUCGUGAGACACGUAGAGCAGAGCUACGUGGAUCUCCUGUGCUCUGGCCAGGAGAGAUUCAGAGAACAGUGCGAACUUCCGUUAGGGGCCUUCAGCACUGACACUGGCGGCUAGAGGCAUCUUAAGCCCAGGCCCUUUGGAUUGAAAUGAGAUAAGCAGGUCCCUUCUGGAGCCUGGGAAAUGGGUGAAGUUAGAAGAGAACAAUUUAUAUAGUAAGAAGAUUACAGCAGACAGCAUAAUGGUUCCCCAAAGAUGUCCAUGUCCUAAUUCCCAGAACCCAGGAAUACAUUACCUCACAUGGGAAAAGUGGCUUUGAAGACAUAUCUCAGCUAAGGAUCCUGAGACGGGGAGAUUAUCUUGGAUUAUCUGGGUGGCCCAAUGGAAUCCCACGAGUCUUUUAGACACAGAAAAGGGGACGUGAUGAUGGAAGUGGAGUUUGGAGCCAUGCGCUUUGAAGGUGGAGGGAGGGGUCACGAGCCAAGGGAUGCAGGCAGCUGCUUGGUGAAAAGGCAGGAAAAUGGAUUCUAUCCUGGAGGCCCGCUGACACCUUGAUUUCAGCCCAAUAAAACUUAGUUUGGGUUGCUGACCUCCAGAAUUGUAAGAUAAUGAAUAUGUGUCGUUUCAAGGCACUAAAGUUUGUGGUAAUUGGUUCCGGCAGCCACAGGAAACUCAUACCGAGACUGUUUUCUCCAUCUGGCAACAAGGAAGCUGAGAGCAGUGACCUUUCCAGGUCACUUGGCGCGGGCGACAGAGCCUGCCCUGGAGCCGGUCUCCAGCUCUGUCCACCAGGCACGGCCCCAAGCAGAUCUGAGUUUAGGGAAUGUGAAGACAUGCCCGAAAGUGACUUUUCUCCUUAGCAGCAGGGACCUCGGGGGGCGAAACCUGCAUGGUGUUGACAUGAAGUACCAGCUCCCUCAUCAAACCCCGAGCAGCACUGCCUGGUCGACACUGGAAGAAUCCCACACAGGAGAGGCAGCUGGAUCACACGAUCCCUACUCUGGCCCAGGACUCACCAAGAUGUACCUUCUCCUUGAGAGGCUGUCACCAUUGUGGCCUUGGGCACAAUGGUCGUCCUUUAACACUCUGACCUGGGAGGUGGCACACGCUCUCUCUGUAGAGCUGAGUCUGAGACAGGUAUUCAGGUCAGACCUUAGGGAGCUCCAGGGUACUGAAGGAGGUACACACUGCGAUGGUGCCUCAUGACAGACCUCCAUGUCAUGCUCCCCUGAGCCCACAUAGCGGACACCAUCUUACACCUCCCGUUGAGGACACACCCCUGCUCCCAAGCUGGGGCCCAAGAGAACCAGGCCCAAGAGAGGGGAGGCCCUCCUCUGUCUGCCUGAGGCCAGUCUUCCAAGCUCUGGUUUCCAGUAGAGAUUUACCCUCUUCCUGGUGGUGGAACUGGGCCCCUCCCUCUUGAGGGAGACCGAGCUUCUUGUCUGAGACGUGACCUGGCUCACCAUUCGGGCCACAAGAGAAUGGAUAGAAUGUGCCAGUCUCCCAACAGCAUAUCAGUUACACACAUACACCGUUGGGUUAAAGAGCUGAAUUGUUCUCCAGAGCCCAGGAGUCUUUUAGCUGAAAAACUUCACACCAUUCGUCCAUCCCAUGGGGGAAGGGAGACUUCUUAUGGGUGACCAAACUCAACACGUAUUAUGCCAGUCGCCCCCUGCCAAACCUGGGGUGGUGUGUUGUUCUUAUUCCUAUUUGACAGAGGAGCAAACUGAGGCUCGAACCAGAUGAUGGCCUUUCAACUACUGAGUGUGGGGCUGGGAGAUGCUCCUCAUAGGAGGAGAGUGGGAGAAGGGUGGAGGGACCACCUGGACAGAAAACUCGUACACACAGUCAGACAACAGAACAGAAGGGAUGAAAUUGGGGCUGCCCUAGAUGGCUGGUGAGACCUUGCCAAGAAAGGACGUCAGGAGCCGACCAAGGGCAUGACCGUGACGAGGCGCCGGCGUCUGGACUCUGCCACCGCUCCCCAUUGCUGAUUUCUCAUCUCCCCUCUGUUCCCCGCAGUGACUGCCUUUUAAACCCUGAAACUGAAGGGACAGCAGGGAAGUGGGUGGCCAGGGAGUCUUUGUCCAGCUCUGCAGCUAAUGUUGAAGGAGAAAGACACCCCACAGCAUGGUGUUUGUGUGCGCAGUUUUGAGAGUAAAGUUAAGAGGAGAAGGUAGAGUAGAAGGAGGAAGAAGGGAACUCACAGGAGGUGGUGGGACGGAGGGCUGCAGCUCCCCGUUCUUUCAGGUCACAGUUACUGCACCCCGACUGGGUGCCGAGUCCUGGACUAAAAUGGGCCGGGUGAGGAGGUGGAUUUACUCUGGAUGGUCAGGGAGGCCUCCCCAAGGAGGCAGCCUUAAACCGAGAUCUGAGGGGUGAGAGGUGGGUCAGGAGCGGAAGCUAAUCUAGGUAGAGCAUGCCACACGUAAAGUCCCAGAGGCGAGAAACAGCUUUGGGUAUAUAUAUAUAUAUAUAUAUAUAAAGUGGAAGGAACUGGUGAGGCUCGAGCAGACUGAGCGGUGGGGGGAGGCAAGAGGCACAGCGGAGAGAGGGACCUGGGUCAGGGGCCUGUGAAGCAUGAGGGGGUUUGCUCUGAGUGAGUCAGGAUGUUGAAGCUGGGGUGCAUGAUGGGGUUUAUGUUUAGAAAAUCCACUCUUGCUGCUCUGUGAGCAUACAUGUGGAGUGGGACAGGAGUAGGGGAGGUGAGAGAGCAUGACGAGCUGUUAAGGAGGUCCAGGCGACAGAGGUGCUGGCCUGGACUGUCUGGUGGGGAUGGAGAUGGAGAGAAGUGGGCAGAUUCUAGAUGUUAAUUGGAGGGAAAAUCAAACUUGCUGAUGAGUUGGCUGUAAGGGGCCGACGGCAAAGGAGGAAGCUCUCUCUUCAGCACCGUGGAGAGGAUCACGGCAGGUUUCUAAAGUGGGGAGCGCUGUGGGCGGGGACAGGUUUUAGAGUACGGGACGCUAUUUCAGGCAGAGUGGAGAUGAGCUGUUUACGCCUCAUCUGAGUGGAGGGAGCAAGUAGGCCAGUGAAUAUACGCAUGUGGAGCUCAGAGGGCAGUCUGGGCAGGUGAUAUAUAAGUGUGGGAGUCAUCAGCAUAAAGAUGCUAUUUACAGCCAUGGGAAAGGAUGAGAUCAUCCAGGGAGAGAAGGGAAGAGGCCUCUGUCCAGGCCUGAGGCGUUUGGACAUUUAGAGAUCAGGUGAGGUCUGGGAGACAAGGAAGGGGCAGCUGCAACAAUUUCAUUCAAGUAUACUUCUAUCGAGCCUGCAGGCCCAGCUGCACACGCUGCAGAUGUUGGGGCCCAAGGGAGCAGGGCAAGUCUUUGGCCUCAGGGGCUCAUAGUCUAUGAGGAGCAUUUGUAGGAGCCGAUGACGACAAUAUGGUGUGGUCAAGAAUUUAGAGAUGGGCCCAGGAGAAGGGACUGGAAGACUUGUCUGUGGUCUCAGGUCCCUGAAACUAGGGGUAUGGCCAAGUGUAUGGGCGGGACCAUGGGCCUCAGGAAGAUGGGGAGAAAGGAUGCAGAGGCUGGGAGCUAUUCCAGACCUGGUUUCUUUCCUCUAGACUCCCUGUGUCCCCUUGAACCCGGCUUCGCCUCUCCCCCACCCUCCACGCCCUGGUCUUCUUCCACCAGAACCCCCACUGUCCAUGGCCAACACCACGGAGCCCUGCUUGUUCCUCACUUCCAUCCCCAUCUCCAUGCCCCAGGUCUCCAGGCACCCCUCCCCCCCACUGCCCUGCUGACAGGCUAGCAUCCUGAGGAGCAGAGCUGUUUUCUAGAAACAGGAUUAACUUGACAGCAAAAUGACCACAGCCUGGAGCCUUGCUCCCCAUCAAGGCAGGAUGUUGUCUCAAAAACUGUUUCUUCAUUUCCUGCUGUUGAGCAAUCAUGCAUGAUGACUAGCUUCUAUUUCACACCGCUUGAAGAAGACAGAGAAAUCUGUCUCACUGAGCUUUUCAGAGAGAAAUGGGGUCAGCCCCCUCGUGACUGCAGGCAGGGCCCUCCACCAACCCCCUGUCCUCCCCACAUCAGUGCUGAGCAGUGCGGGCGGGCCGCACUUGUUCAGUGUGCUGCCUGGGUCACGGCGCCCACGUGGCUCGCUCUCCUGUGGCUGUGUUCAGUCCACGAACCUGCACAGUCUGGCCCCAACCUCUCUGUCCAUCCUCAUCUUGUGCUGCCUCCUUCUGAGCCCCAUGUCUGGUCCAGUCUGGAUGUGCCCUGGGAUGUCGGCUCUCAGUCCUUGCUGCACAAGCUCUGCCUCUGAGAGCGAGGAAGGUCUGAGCCUGCACUCGAGGCCCCAUCUCAGUGCCGGAGCCUCUCUCUGUGAAAGCCGUCACCCACCAGCCAACUGGGGAGGAUUUCUCCUUCCUUUGAACGUGCUUAGCUUCUUCCUUUGUCAUUGCUUGUGGCUCAUUUAAUCUUGAAGUAUAAUGCUUUGAGGGCACUCCUUAUCACCUCUUCUAGACCCUAUAAACUCCAGAAGAUCGAGCCUUGAGUCUGGGGUCAAAUCUGAUUUGUCUCUACCUAUAGUCUCAGCAAAAGUCUGGACAUCCCUGUAAAAUGGAUGAAUUUUGAUUAAAGUUGUAGGGAGCCUUGAGCUGACAUGGGAGAUGCAGCCUAAGGCUUGAUUUUAUUGGUUCUCUGGGAAAAUGCAGCUCUCUGUGAAGAACAGAGUCUAUAAGGGGAUAGAGAGCUAUGUGCUCACUCAUUCAUCCAUCCAUUCACUCAACAAACACUUAUUAAGCAUCUGCUAUGUGCCAGAAAUAGUGUUAAAUGCUGGAGAUACAGUCGUAAGACUGGUAGUUCUUGCUCACGUGGAGAUUCUAUUCCAGCUCAGGGAGAUCGAUGACAAACAAGGAAACAUUGCAUAGUGGUCGGUGCCAUGAUAAAAAUAAGUCGGAGUGAUGUGACAGUGUGCCUGGGAAGUGGUUGAAAGAGCUCUCUGGAGCAGUGACACUUCGGAGAGACCUGAAGGAUGAGCCGAGGCGGUCGUGGGAAGACCUGGGCAUGAGCAGUUGGAGGGCGGAACAGGGGGCACAAAGCUUGGAGGUCAGGGAAGUGGGGAGAGACGGGAGAAGUUCAAGGGUGCGAGGAACAGAAGUGAGGAACAAAUGACUGGAUCACAGAGCACAAGGGGCCGAUGAGCAUAGACAGUCUGUUCAGUAGGGAGAUAAUGGUGAGAUGGCCAGAAAGAGACAGCAGAGGGUCAGAGCCUGCACCAAGCUGUGGAUCCAAGUCCUGAUUCUAACUAUUAACAACUUUUCUGGGUCUCAGUUUCUUCAUUUGUAAAAUAUCUAACUUUUAGAGUUCUUGUGAAGGUUAAAUGACAUAACAGAAAUAAACACCUAUCACGUUAACUCUAUAAAUGGUAACCUGUAAUCCAGGUAAGACCCUAGAAGCCAGCUUUACAAGGUUAGGGAUGACCAGGACCAUGGAGCCGAGAGAGGAACGAGUGAACCGUGGUCCAAGUGGGCUCCCUCGUUUCCUCCUAACUCCAUCCUUUCUCUCUCUUUCACUUUCUUUUUAUCUUUCUCCCCACCACAAUUUCUUACUCUCGCCUUCCUUCAUACUAUUUCAAGUCACAUCACCUCACUGUCCAAAAUUUGGAAUAAAGACGUCUUAAAAUAUAGAUUAUUUAGUAUGGUUUUGGCUUCCUUUAAAAAUCAUGUGUGUUUAAUGCUUUAUACAUGUCUCUUAAUUAAAAAGCAGCAAGAGCAGCAGCAUCCACACCUAAAUUAAGUAAUUUUCUAUGAUUGUAUGGUC